AUGCUUUACACAUGCAAGUCGAACGGUAUCAGGGUGCUUGCACCGCUGACGAGUGGCGAACGGGUGAGUAAUGCGUCGGAAUGUACCGUGUAAUGGGGGAUAGCUCGGCGAAAGCCGGAUUAAUACCGCAUACGCCCUGAGGGGGAAAGUGGGGGACCGUAAGGCCUCACGUUAUACGAGCAGCCGACGUCUGAUUAGCUAGUUGGUGAGGUAAGAGCUCACCAAGGCGACGAUCAGUAGCGGGUCUGAGAGGAUGAUCCGCCACACUGGGACUGAGACACGGCCCAGACUCCUACGGGAGGCAGCAGUGGGGAAUUUUGGACAAUGGGCGCAAGCCUGAUCCAGCCAUGCCGCGUGUCUGAAGAAGGCCUUCGGGUUGUAAAGGACUUUUGUUCGGGAGGAAAUCCCGCUGGUUAAUACCUGGCGGGGAUGACAGUACCGGAAGAAUAAGCACCGGCUAACUACGUGCCAGCAGCCGCGGUAAUACGUAAGGGUGCAAGCGUUAAUCGGAAUUACUGGGCGUAAAGCGUGCGCAGGCGGUUGUGCAAGUCUGAUGUGAAAGCCCCGGGCUUAACCUGGGAACGGCAUUGGAGACUGCACGACUAGAGUGCGUCAGAGGGGGGUAGAAUUCCACGUGUAGCAGUGAAAUGCUUAGAGAUGUGGAGGAAUACCGAUGGCGAAGGCAGUCCCCUGGGAUGACACUGACGCUCAUGCACGAAAGCGUGGGGAGCAAACAGGAUUAGAUACCCUGGUAGUCCACGCCCUAAACGAUGUCAACUAGCUGUUGGGGGUUUGAAUCCUUGGUAGCGUAGCUAACGCGUGAAGUUGACCGCCUGGGGAGUACGGCCGCAAGGUUAAAACUCAAAGGAAUUGACGGGGACCCGCACAAGCGGUGGAUGAUGUGGAUUAAUUCGAUGCAACGCGAAAAACCUUACCUGCUCUUGACAUGUAACGAACUUGGUAGAGAUAUCUUGGUGCCCGAAAGGGAGCGUUAACACAGGUGCUGCAUGGCUGUCGUCAGCUCGUGUCGUGAGAUGUUGGGUUAAGUCCCGCAACGAGCGCAACCCUUGUCAUUAGUUGCCAUCAUUAAGUUGGGCACUCUAAUGAGACUGCCGGUGACAAACCGGAGGAAGGUGGGGAUGACGUCAAGUCCUCAUGGCCCUUAUGAGCAGGGCUUCACACGUCAUACAAUGGUCGGUACAGAGGGUUGCCAAGCCGCGAGGUGGAGCUAAUCUCAGAAAACCGAUCGUAGUCCGGAUCGCACUCUGCAACUCGAGUGCGUGAAGUCGGAAUCGCUAGUAAUCGCAGAUCAGCAUGCUGCGGUGAAUACGUUCCCGGGUCUUGUACACACCGCCCGUCACACCAUGGGAGUGAGUUUCACCAGAAGUGGGUAGGCUAACCGUAAGGAGGCCGCUUACCACGGUGGGAUUCAUGACUGGGGUGAAGUCGUAACAAGGUA
rnacentral:rRNA from 1 species